CAAAGGAAGUUGACGGGGGCCCGCACAAGCGGUGGAGCAUGUGGUUUAAUUCGAAGCAACGCGAAGAACCUUACCAGGUCUUGACAUCCCCUGACAACCGAGAGAUCGGGCGUUCCCCUUCGGGGGGACAGGGUGACAGGUGGUGCAUGGUUGUCGUCAGCUCGUGUCGUGAGAUGUUGGGUUAAGUCCCGCAACGAGCGCAACCCUCGACCUUAGUUGCCAGCAUUCAGUUGGGCACUCUAGCGAGACUGCCCGGUAAUAAACCGGAGGAAGGUGGGGAUGACGUCAAAUCAUCAUGCCCCUUAUGACCUGGGCUACAAACGUGAUACAAUGGCUGGAACAAAGGGAGGCGAAGGGGUGACCUGGAGCGAAACCCAAAAAUACAGUCUCAGUUCGGAUUGAAGUCUGCAACUCGACUUCAUGAAGUCGGAAUCGCUAGUAAUCGCGGAUCAGAACGCCGCGGUGAAUACGUUCUCGGGGUUU
rnacentral:rRNA from 1 species